rnacentral:rRNA from 1 species
GACGAACGCUGGCGGCGUGCUUAACACAUGCAAGUCGAACGGAACGGCCCUGCUUUUGUGGGGUGCUCGAGUGGCGAACGGGUGAGUAACACGUGAGUAACCUGCCCUUGACUUUGGGAUAACUUCAGGAAACUGGGGCUCAUACCGGAUAGGAGCUCCUGCUGCAUGGUGGGGGUUGGAAAGUUUCGGCGGUUGGGGAUGGACUCGCGGCUUCUCAGCUUGUUGGUGGGGUAGUGGCUUACCAAGGCUUGGCCGGGUAGCGGGGCUGAGAUGGUGGCCGGCCACAUUGGGACUGGGCUACGACACAGACUCCAAUGGUAGGCAGCAGUGGGGAAGAGUGUACUAUGGGCGGAAGCCUGAUGCAGCAACGCCGCGUGCGGGAUGAGGGCCUGCGGUUUGUAAACCGCUUUUGCCUGUCACGAAGCGUGAGUGACGGUAAUGGGUAAAGAAGCACCGGCUAACUACGUG